GAGUUUGAUCCUGGCUCAGGACGAACGCUGGCGGCGUGCCUAACACAUGCAAGUCGAGCGGAGAUAUUAGCAAUAGUAUCUUAGCGGCGGACGGGUGAGUAACGCGUGGGCAACCUGCCUUAGACUGGGGGAUAACACAGGGAAACUUGUGCUAAUACCGCAUAACAUUAUGAAGUGGCAUCACUUUAUAAUCAAAGGAGAAAUCCGGUAUAAGAUGGGCCCGCGUCCAAUUAGCUAGUUGGUGAGGUAACGGCCCACCAAGGCGACGAUGGGUAGCCGGCCUGAGAGGGUGAACGGCCACACUGGGACUGAGACACGGCCCAGACUCCUACGGGAGGCAGCAGUUGGGAAUCUUCGGCAAUGGGCGCAAGCCUGACCGAGCAACGCCGCGUGAGUGAUGAAGGUUUUCGGAUUGUAAAGCUCUGUCUUCCGGGACGAUAAUGACGGUACCGGAGGAGGAAGCCACGGCUAACUACGUGCCAGCAGCCGCGGUAAUACGUAGGUGGCGAGCGUUGUCCGGAAUUACUGGGCGUAAAGGGCGCGUAGGCGGCCUGUCAAGUCAGAUGUGAAAUCCCCGGGCUUAACCCGGGAACUGCAUUUGAAACUGGCGGGCUUGAGGGCAGGAGAGGAAAGCGGAACCCCCAGUGUAGCGGUGAAAUGCGUAGAUAUUGGGAGGAACACCAGUGGCGAAAGGCGGCUUUCUGGACUGUCACUGACGCUGAGGCGCGAAAGC
rnacentral:rRNA from 1 species